UACAGCCACAGCACUUUGAAGCACCGGUCCCCGUACGGUCACCGAAGUUAAGCAACGUUGAGCCUUCUUGGUACAUAAAUGAAUGACCGCUUGGGAAUACCAGGUGCUGUAA